rnacentral:tRNA from 2 species
CAAGAUAUAGCUUAAAUAAAGCACCUAGGUUUACACCUAGAAGAUUUCACUACACCACGAAUAUCUUGA